AUUGAACGCUGGCGGCAGGCCUAACACAUGCAAGUCGAGCGGCGCGGCGGCCGGGUGAGUAAUGCCUAGGGAUCUGCCUGGUAGCGGGGGAUAACGUUCGGAAAUGGGCGCUAAUACCGCAAACUUUCCCAUGAGCCUAGGUCGGAUUAGCUAGUUGGUAGGGUAAAGGCAUACCAAGGCGACGAUCCGUAACUGGUCUGAGAGGAUGAUCAGUCACACUGGAACUGAGACACGGUCCAGACUCCUACGGGAGGCAGCAGUGGGGAAUAUUGGACAAUGGGCGAAAGCCUGAUACAGCCAUGCCGCGUGUGUGAAGAAGGUCUUCGGAUUGUAAAGCACUUUAAGUUGGGAGGCGUUACCAACAGAAUAAGCACCGGCUAACUUCGUGCCAGCAGCCGCGGUAAUAC
rnacentral:rRNA from 1 species